AGAGUUUGAUCCUGGCUCAGACGAACGCUGGCGGCGUGCUUAACACAUGCAAGUCGAACGAUGAAGCCUUUCGGGGUGGAUUAGUGGCGAACGGGUGAGUAACACGUGGGCAAUCUGCCCUUCACUCUGGGACAAGCCCUGGAAACGGGGUCUAAUACCGGAUAACACUCCUCUGGGCAUCCAGGGGGGUUGAAAGCUCCGGCGGUGAAGGAUGAGCCCGCGGCCUAUCAGCUUGUUGGUGAGGUAGUGGCUCACCAAGGCGACGACGGGUAGCCGGCCUGAGAGGGCGACCGGCCACACUGGGACUGAGACACGGCCCAGACUCCUACGGGAGGCAGCAGUGGGGAAUAUUGCACAAUGGGCGAAAGCCUGAUGCAGCGACGCCGCGUGAGGGAUGACGGCCUUCGGGUUGUAAACCUCUUUCAGCAGGGAAGAAGCGAAAGUGACGGUACCUGCAGAAGAAGCGCCGGCUAACUACGUGCCAGCAGCCGCGGUAAUACGUAGGGCGCAAGCGUUGUCCGGAAUUAUUGGGCGUAAAGAGCUCGUAGGCGGCUUGUCGCGUCGGUUGUGAAAGCCCGGGGCUUAACCCCGGGUCUGCAGUCGAUACGGGCAGGCUAGAGUGUGGUAGGGGAGAUCGGAAUUCCUGGUGUAGCGGUGAAAUGCGCAGAUAUCAGGAGGAACACCGGUGGCGAAGGCGGAUCUCUGGGCCAUUACUGACGCUGAGGAGCGAAAGCGUGGGGAGCGAACAGGAUUAGAUACCCUGGUAGUCCACGCCGUAAACGGUGGGAACUAGGUGUUGGCGACAUUCCACGUCGUCGGUGCCGCAGCUAACGCAUUAAGUCCCCGCCUGGGGAGUACGGCCGCAAGGCUAAAACUCAAAGGAAUUGACGG
rnacentral:rRNA from 1 species